UGAGGAAUAUUGGUCAAUGGGCGAGAGCCUGAACCAGCCAAGUAGCGUGCAGGAUGACGGCCCUAUGGGUUGUAAACUGCUUUUAUGUGGGGAUAAAGUGCGUGACGUGUCAUGCAUUGCAGGUACCACAUGAAUAAGGACCGGCUAAUUCCGUGCCAGCAGCCGCGGUAAUACGGAAGGUCCGGGCGUUAUCCGGAUUUAUUGGGUUUAAAGGGAGCGUAGGCUGUCUAUUAAGCGUGUUGUGAAAUAUACCGGCUCAACCGGUGGCUUGCAGCGCGAACUGGUCGACUUGAGUAUGCAGGAAGUAGGCGGAAUUCAUGGUGUAGCGGUGAAAUGCUUAGAUAUCAUGACGAACUCCGAUUGCGCAGGCAGCUUACUGUAGCAUAACUGACGCUGAUGCUCGAAAGUGCGGGUAGCAAACAGG
rnacentral:rRNA from 1 species